AUCCUGGCUCAGGAUGAACGCUGGCGGCGUGCCUAACACAUGCAAGUCGAACGAAGACAUACCGACGGAAUCCUUCGGGAGGAAGAUAGUAUGGACUGAGUGGCGGACGGGUGAGUAACGCGUGGGUAACCUGCCCUGUACAGGGGGACAACAGUUAGAAAUGACUGCUAAUACCGCAUAAGCGCACGGUACCGCAUGGUACAGCGCGAAAAACUCCGGUGGUACAGGAUGGGCCCGCGUCUGAUUAG
rnacentral:rRNA from 1 species